AUUGAACGCUGGCGGCAUGCCUUACACAUGCAAGUCGAACGGCAGCGCGGGUGCUUGCACCUGGUGGCGAGUGGCGAACGGGUGAGUAAUACAUCGGAACAUGUCCUGUAGUGGGGGAUAGCCCGGCGAAAGCCGGAUUAAUACCGCAUACGAUCUACGGAUGAAAGCGGGGGACCUUCGGGCCUCGCGCUAUAGGGUUGGCCGAUGGCUGAUUAGCUAGUUGGUGGGGUAAAGGCCUACCAAGGCGACGAUCAGUAGCUGGUCUGAGAGGACGACCAGCCACACUGGGACUGAGACACGGCCCAGACUCCUACGGGAGGCAGCAGUGGGGAAUUUUGGACAAUGGGCGAAAGCCUGAUCCAGCAAUGCCGCGUGUGUGAAGAAGGCCUUCGGGUUGUAAAGCACUUUUGCCCGGAAAGAAAUCCUUGGCCCUAAUACGGUCGGGGGAUGACGGUACCGGAAGAAUAAGCACCGGCUAACUACGUG
rnacentral:rRNA from 1 species